rnacentral:rRNA from 1 species
CGCCAACACUGGGACUGAGAACUGCCCAGACUCCUACGGGAGGCUGCAGUCGAGAAUCAUUCGCAAUGGGCGAAAGCCUGACGAUGCGACGCCGUGUGAGCGAAGAAGGCCUUAGGGUCGUAAAGCUCUUUCGCUUGGGAACAAGAGAAGUAGACUAAUAAUCUACAAAUUUGAGCGUACCAGGUAAAGAAGCAC